AUACGUAGGUGGCAAGCGUUGUCCGGAAUUAUUGGGCGUAAAGCGCAUGUAGGCGGUGCCUUAAGUCUGUCGUGAAACUGCGGGGCCUAACCCCGUAUGGCGAUGGAAACUGUGACACUUGAGUGCAGGAGAGGAAAGGGGAACUCCCAGUGUAGCGGUGAAAUGGGUAGAUUUUGGGAAGAACACCGGGGGCGAAGGCGCGUUUCUGGACUGAGGAUGAAGCUGGGAUGCGAAAGCCGGGGUAGCGAAAGGGGUUAGAUACCCCGGUAGGCCUGGCCGUAAACGAUGGGUACUAGGUGUGUGAGGUAUCGACCCCUUCCGUGCCGGAGUUAACGCAAUAAGUACCCCGCCUGGGGAGUACGGCCGCAAGGCUUAAACUCAAAUGAAUUGACGGGG
rnacentral:rRNA from 1 species